UAUGAAGGUGGCUAGCGUUGUUCGGAAUCACUGGGCGUAAAGCGCACGUAGGCGGAUCUUUAAGUCAGAGGUGGAAUCCCAAGGCUCAACCUUGGAACUGCCUUUGAUACUGGGGAUCUUGAGUCCGGGAGAGGUGAGUGGAACUGCGAGUGUAGCGGUGAAAUGCGCAGAUAUCAGGAGGAACACCUAUUGCGAAGGCAGCUCGCUGGGACGUUACUGACGCUGAGACGCGAAAGCGUGGGGAGCAAACAGG
rnacentral:rRNA from 1 species